AGGUUAUUAGCUCUAAAAACCCUAAUAUAUCGCUAAAGCACGUGACAUUGCUCUUGAUUCAAAGACCACCGCCGUAAAAACCGUCGACGCCUUUAAAAAGGUGCUGUUUCACUGCCAAAAACACGAAUUAAAAUGGAGAAACUGGCGGAGGAGCUGAAGAAGAGACUUUCCAACCUAAUAGAAUUCAUUAAAGGCUGCAAAAACUGCGAUUCUCAAAACAAAGGGUAUGAAGAAGGAGAAGAACCCGAGUUGAAAUCUGCGCAGGGUGCGCAGGAUAGGGAGAUUCGUGUAGCAGCUCUGAACGCUCCAAAGCGCCCGGGCGUAUCGAAAGGCCCACCUCCUCAAAUCAACUGAAGACGUACAACACGUGUUGAAUCCGGGCCAACAGCACACAGUGUGGCCGGAUGUCCCCGGAUUUGAGGGAAACACAUCCAACUCGGGUCAUCAGGACACUAUUCAUUUUCACGUGCAUCAGCACCUGGGUUUCCCACUUUUACUGCCAUCUAAUCCGUUCAUAAGGUAGAAGGGAAAACAAAAGUAUAAGCCUGAUGUAAAACUUCUGUGGGCCUCAAAAUGAUUCUAAUGGUAGGUUUUUAAUCUUUACUUCUUCUUGUGGUG